AGGACCUCAGGAAGAGCAGUCGGGUGCUCUUAACCACUGAACCAUCUCUCUAGCCCUAGAGUUCGGGCUUUAUACUCUCUACAAAGACAGACCCAAUAGUCACUCUGCUUUGUGGAGAUUAAGAGCAAAAGCCGGGACAGUUACCAGAGUCAAUGCUUUCCCAUCUUUUUCUUCCCUUCUGCCCUCCACCAUCCCUCCGAACCUAGUGAAAAUCUGCUGCCUAUGAGUGAGGCCACUCCAUUUGCACACUGACCACACUGGCUGGGUGAUGUCACAGAGCUUAGUGGAAUUUGGAAGAGGCAUCCGAAGGGGCAUAGAAACAGAAGACGCCCUGAUAAGACGCUCAUAUGCUGAUACCAUUUCCAACAAGACUAGUGCUUUUGCUCCAAAGACAUUCCCAGGGUCUUUCAAAGAUGAAUGUCCUCUACAGGGCUGUUGACUUUCCUAAGCUUCUGACCCUGAAGAUAAAACGACUCAAGGAAGUAUUCUGAAGGCGUGUCCACUGAAAGUGACAUCAGUAACAGUGGUGGCACACGCCUCCAAUCCCUGCACUCAGGAAGCAGAAGCAGACAGAUCUCUAAACUCAAGGCCAGCCUGGGCUACGAGGUCAUAUGAAUAGAGGAAGUGACCACAUCAACCUCUGAACAGAUUGCUUCCCUGGUAACAAAAGGUAUUUUACACCUGAUUGCCCAUAAAGACAGCUGAGUCCAGGCUAAUCACCUCCCGUCUCUCUUCUCAAUACAUUAUGUUAAAGGUGGGGGAGGGAGAGUGUGCAAUCCGGCGUUCGAUUCUUAAUAAUAAUUCUCCAUUCACUCAUUGCUAGUCUUAUCCUAACCCUCUGUGGGUCACCCAGAACUCGAAGACCCCAUCGCCUGAGAGGGUCAGGAAAGAGGCGUUUCUCUCCUAGUCCGGGGGACAAUAAAAUCACAACUUAGACGCCUUCCAGGCCCCCAGUCAGGACGGGCAGGCAGCCCAACCCGAGAGACCGGGCGGCGUCCCUGGUGUCCGAGGCAGGGCCCCGGGCGGAGCCUCCCGCAGUGCCCGGU
rnacentral:sRNA from 1 species